CAGCCGCCGCGGGAAUACGAAGGGGGCUAGCGUUGUUCGGAUUUACUGGGCGUAAAGCGCACGUAGGCGGAUCGAUCAGUCAGGGGUGAAAUCCCAGAGCUCAACUCUGGAACUGCCUUUGAUACUGUCGAUCUGGAGUAUGGAAGAGGUGAGUGGAAUUCCGAGUGUAGAGGUGAAAUUCGUGGAUAUUCGGAGGAACACCAGUGGCGGAGGCGGCUCACUGGUCCAUUACUGACGCUGAGGUGCGAAAGCGUGGGGAGCAAACAGGAUUAGAUACCCGUGUAGUCCCUGUCUCUUAUAC
rnacentral:rRNA from 1 species